UACAGAGGUCCCGAGCGUUGUUCGGAUUCACUGGGCGUAAAGGGCGCGUAGGCGGCCACGCACGUCCGUUGUGAAAUCGCCCGGCUCAACUGGGCGGGGUCGGCGGAUACGGCGUGGCUGGAGCAAGCUAGGGGGCAAUGGAAUUCCCGGUGUAGUGAUGGAAUGCGUAGAUAUCGGGAGGAACACCAGUGGCGAAGGCGGUUGCCUGGAGCUUUGCUGACGCUGAGGCGCGAAAGCGUGGGGAGCGAUCCGG
rnacentral:rRNA from 1 species